rnacentral:rRNA from 1 species
GGCUGUCGUCAGCUCGUGUCGUGAGAUGUUGGGUUUAAGUCCCGGCAACGAGCGCAACCCUUGUCUUAAUUGCCAUCAUUCAGUUGGGCACUUUAAGAGACUGCCGGUGUUAAACCGGAGGAAGUGGGAUGACGUCAAGUCCUCAUGGCCUUUAUGCCCAGGGCUACACACGUGCUACAAUGGGUGGUACAAAGAGAUGCAAUCUCGCAAGAGCAAGCAAACCUCAAAAAGCCAUCCUCAGUUCGGAUUGGAGUCUGCAACUCGACUCCAUGAAGUCGGAAUCGCUAGUAAUCGCGGAUCAGCACGCCGCGGUGAAUAACGUUCCCGGGCCUU